UCAUUAGCCUGAACCAUGUGAUUACUGCUGAACAGCUAUGUCCCCUCAAUUCCCCAGUCUGGGGUGCCUUUUACUCUGCUUUGUGGUGAGAAGAACUACUUCUGGCCAGUUCACACACAGCCUCUAGCAUGCAAAGUCA